rnacentral:rRNA from 1 species
UAUGUGAUCGUCUCUCGCAUAUCAAUAAGCGGAGGAAAAGAAACUAACAAGGAUUCCCCUAGUAACGGCGAGUGAAGCGGGAAGAGCUCAAAUUUGAAAUCUUAAAGGGUUUCCCUUUACGAAUUGUAGUUUAAAGAAGUGUUUUCUGUUGAGGUUUUGGUAAAAGUUCUUUGGAAUAGGACAUCAUAGAGGGUGAGAAUCCCGUAUUUGACCUUUACUUUCAACUUUGUGAUACACUUUCAAAGAGUCGGAUUGUUUGGGAAUGCAGUCCAAAAUGGGUGGUAAAUUUCAUCUAAAGCUAAAUAUUGGCGAGAGACCGAUAGCGAACAAGUACCGUGAGGGAAAGAUGAAAAGAACUUUGAAAAGAGAGUUAAACAGUACGUGAAAUUGUCAAAAGGGAAGCGUUUGACACCAGUGUUGUUUUUCUGAAAAUCAAUUAAAGAACUGUUUAUGCUAAGCUGUUUAGACUUUAUCAGCUAAUCUGUUUAGUUUUGAGCUUUUCUUUAAUGCACUUUUCAGUUAACAAGUCAACAUCAAUUUCUUUUGCUGUAAAAAAGCUUGAGGAAGGUGGCUUGAGAUUCGUCUUAAGUGUUUAUAGCCUCUUGCCUAUGCAGUCGGAGAGAUUGAGGUCUGCAGCGUAGAUCCUUCGGGGCUAAAUGCAUUUGUGCUAAGUUAUAGCAUUUUAUAGACAACUUGUUGACUAUGAUUUGUCUUGUAGCUUACUCGCUUAUGUUAUUUUACCUACGCUUAGGAUGUUGAACGCGCACAGAGUCUC